rnacentral:rRNA from 1 species
UACGUAGGCAGCAAGCGUUGUUCGGAGUUACUGGGCGUAAAGGGUGCGUAGGCGGCUUUUUAAGUCUGGUGUGAAAUCUCCCGGCUCAACUGGGAGGGUGCGCCGGAUACUGAGGGGCUAGAGUGUGGGAGAGGAAAGUGGAAUUCCUGGUGUAGCGGUGAAAUGCGUAGAUAUCGGGAGGAACACCUGUGGCGAAAGCGGCUCACUGGACCACAACUGACGCUGAGGCGCGAAAGCCUAGGGGAGCAACAGG